rnacentral:rRNA from 1 species
AGUUCGAUUCUGGCUCAGAUUGAACGCUGGCGGGAUGCUUUACACAUGCAAGUCGAACGGCAGCACGUGGACGGUCUGGUGGCGAGUGGCGAACGGGUGAGUAAUGUAUCGGAACGUGCCUAGUAGCGGGGGAUAACUACGCGAAAGCGUAGCUAAUACCGCAUACGCCCUUCGGGGGAAAGCGGGGACCUUCGGGCCUCGCACUAUUAGAGCGGCCGAUAUCGGAUUAGCUAGUUGGUGGGGUAACGGCUCACCAAGGCGACGAUCCGUAGCUGGUUUGAGAGGACGACCAGCCACACUGGGACUGAGACACGGCCCAGACUCCUACGGGAGGCAGUGGGGAAUUUUGGACAAUGGGGAAAUCCCGAUCCAGCCAUCCCGCGUGGGGUGAUGAAGGCCUUCGGGUUGUAAAGCACUUUUGGCAGGAAAGAAACGGCACGGGAUAAUACCCCGUGCAACUGAUGGUACCUGCAGAAUAAGCACCGGCUAACUACGUGCCAGCAGCCGCGGUAAUACGUAGGUGCAAGUAUUAACGACCAUUUGGGGCGGAAGCGUGCGCAGGCGGUUCGGAAAGAAAGCGAUGGAAACUCAGAGCUUAACUUGAACUGAUUUUUAACUACCGAGCUAGAUGUGUCAGAGGGAGGUGGAAUUCCGCGUGUAGCAGUGAAAUGCGUAGAUAUGCGGAGGAACACCGAUGGCGAAGGCAGCCUCCUGGGAUAACACUGACGCUCAUGCACGAAAGCGUGGGGAGCAAACAGGAUUAGAUACCCCGGUAGUCCACGCCCUAAACGAUGUCAACUAGCUGUUGGGGCCUUCGGGCCUGGUAGCGCAGCUAACGCGUGCAGCUUGACCGCCUGGGGAGUACGGUCGCAAGAUUAAACUCAAAGGAAUUGACGGGGACCUCCGCACAAGCGGUGGAUGAUGUGGAUUGUCUGAUGCAACGCGAAAAACCUUACCUACCCUUGACAUGUCUGGAAUCCCGAAGAGAUUUGGGAGUGCUCGCAAGAGAACCGGAACACAGGUGCUGCAUGGCUGUCGUCAGCUCGUGUCGUGAGAUGUUGGGUUAAGUCCCGCAACGAGCGCAACCCUUGUCAUUAGUUGCUACGAAAGGGCACUCUAAUGAGACUGCCGGUGACAAACCGGAGGAAGGUGGGGAUGACGUCAAGUCCUCAUGGCCCUGGCGGUAGGGCUUCACACGUCAUACAAUGGUCGGGACAGAGGGUCGCCGUCCUCGCGAGGGGGAGCCAAUCCCAGAAACCCGAUCGUAGUCCGAUCGCAGUCUGCAACUCGACUGCGUGAAGUCGGAAUCGCUAGUAAUCGCGGAUCAGCAUGUCGCGGUGAAUACGUUCCCGGGUCUUGUACACACCGCCUGUCACACCAUGGUGGGUUUUACCAGAAGUAGUUAGCCUAACCGUAAGGAGGGCGAUUACCACGGUAGGAUUCAUGACUGGGUGAAGUCGUAACAAGGUAG